AGUUUGAUCCUGGCUCAGGACGAACGCUGGCGGCGUGCCUAAUACAUGCAAGUCGAACGCUUUUUCUUUCACCGGAGCUUGCUCCACCGAAAGAAAAGGAGUGGCGAACGGGUGAGUAACACGUGGGUAACCUGCCCAUCAGAAGGGGAUAACACUUGGAAACAGGUGCUAAUACCGUAUAACAGUAGAAACCGCAUGGUUUCUAUUUGAAAGGCGCUUUUGCGUCACUGAUGGAUGGACCCGCGGUGCAUUAGCUAGUUGGUGAGGUAACGGCUCACCAAGGCAACGAUGCAUAGCCGACCUGAGAGGGUGAUCGGCCACAUUGGGACUGAGACACGGCCCAAACUCCUACGGGAGGCAGCAGUAGGGAAUCUUCGGCAAUGGACGAAAGUCUGACCGAGCAACGCCGCGUGAGUGAAGAAGGUUUUCGGAUCGUAAAACUCUGUUGUUAGAGAAGAACAAGGAUGAGAGUAAAACGUUCAUCCCUUGACGGUAUCUAACCAGAAAGCCACGGCUAACUACGUGCCAGCAGCCGCGGUAAUACGUAGGUGGCAAGCGUUGUCCGGAUUUAUUGGGCGUAAAGCGAGCGCAGGCGGUUUCUUAAGUCUGAUGUGAAAGCCCCCGGCUCAACCGGGGAGGGUCAUUGGAAACUGGGAAACUUGAGUGCAGAAGAGGAGAGUGGAAUUCCAUGUGUAGCGGUGAAAUGCGUAGAUAUAUGGAGGAACACCAGUGGCGAAGGCGGCUCUCUGGUCUGUAACUGACGCUGAGGCUCGAAAGCGUGGGGAGCAAACAGGAUUAGAUACCCUGGUAGUCC
rnacentral:rRNA from 1 species